rnacentral:tRNA from 1 species
GGUGGGUUGCCCGAGCGGCCUAAGGGAACGGUCUUGAAAACCGUCGUGGCUCACGCCACCGUGGGUUCAAAUCCCACACCCACCG